rnacentral:misc_RNA from 1 species
UUUUUUUUUUUUUUUUGGUGUAAGUUACAAAAUAUUUGGCUCAUCCUUUGUAUUUUGACUCCAUCUGAUGAUUGCAUUUAGUAUCUUGUUCAGUCAUGUUCCCCUCUCUAGAACUUCUUGCAAAUUCUAUCAGGACAAAGCAUCUCAUAAGUAAGGGAUUUGAAUCUGCUUGAAUUUGCUUCUAGUUAUAGAGAUUGUUAUUUGUGGCAGGGGAAAUACUCCGUUUUGAAGCUUCUUUAUUUUUUGGACUACAAAAUUGUUGUCACACAUUAGUUUGAAAUAAGGUGUUUGGGCUAUAUAUAAAACUUGAACAAAUUUUGUCUCUGACCUAGUUUUUUGGGUGGAGUUAAACUUGAUCCAUUUUUUAGUAUUAGAAGCUAUCCUGCUUUAAUGUUGGGUCAUUCUGGAUGUGUUUUUAGUUUUGGAUAAGGUGUUUGAGUUAUAUAUAAGACUUAGGUAGAUCUCCUCUUGAGCUAGCUUUGCCAACAGAUGGUUUCUUAGAGUGAAUAUGGAAACCCAAUAUUGUACUUGCAUGGCCGCUCGCCAAAAUAUUGCUGGAAAUCUUAAUAUAAUAAUGCUCGACUAUCGUUUUUGUGCAGAUUUUACAUUGACUAAUGUGGAAUUGGAUUGGAUAUAAGCAUUUAGAUUAUGACUCUAAAUUAUGGAUAGUCCGUCCAAUAUAAUUGUUGUGUUCAGAAUGUUCUAUUUUAUUCAGUAAUUCAUAUACUAUUUUGAGAUUGAAAUCACAAUACAAAUUAUUGCUUAAAAAUUCCAAUUAAUAAUAGUUGUGUAUCGUGAAAUAGAAUUGUUUUUAGUGUUAAUGCACUUUUAAGUGAGCGGGCCUCAAUCCAUAUGCCUACACCAGUUGGGGACACAUAUGAGCCAGGAAGUUGACCUUCCCAAGGAUCAAGCUGGACGGAACUCCUAGUGGCGACCUUCAAUUCAAUGAUAUUGGAGUUGUAUUUAACACAACUUAAUAGUAUCAUAGUGGUUUUUAAGUUUGAGAUUACAAGUUGAGACCACAACCAAUUCAAUCAACCAUUAAAAAUGCGAAAGAAACUUGAUUCUGGACAUCAGCUUUUUGUUGUAUCAGUCUCAAAUAUGAAGUUACCAAGCAUCCAAGGGAACAGAACUCAAUAAUUCAGGUGUCUUGGAAGAUGGUACAUGAAGGUUGGAUACAUCUUUUAUAACUUUAUGCAGUACAAUGUUCUUUCAAGGUUUGUAAAAAAAAUGGAUUAGAUUUAAUUGCACCUUAAAAGUUAGCUUAGUAGACUGAGUUUAACUUCAUUUUAAAAGCUAGUUCAAUGAGAGAGAUUUGCUGUCUUGUUGGAGUUUAUCAGUUUUUUAUAUAAUAUUUAGGGAAGUGGGG